rnacentral:rRNA from 1 species
AGUGAACGCUGGCGGUAGGCUUAACACAUGCAAGUCGAACGGAAGCACAGUAAGAGCUUGCGCUUACGGGUGGCGAGUGGCGGACGUGUGAGGAAUAUAACGUAAUCUACUUUUUCGUGGGGGUUAACGUAGGGAAACUUACGCUAAUACCGCAUACGCCCUACGGGUGUAAGCAGGGGAUCUUUGGACCUUGCGCGAUUGAAUGCGCUGAUUUCGGUUUAGCUAGUUGGCGGGGUAAAGGCCCACGAAGGGGCGGAUCCGUAGCUGGUCUGGGAGGAUGGUCGGCGACACGGGAACUGGAACACGGACCAGGCUCCUACGGGAGGCAGCAGUCGGGAAUAUUAGACAAUGGGCGCAAGCCUGAUCCAGCCAUACCGCGUGGGUGACGAAGGCCUUCGGGUUGUAAAGACCUUUUUUUGGGAAAGAAAAGCAGCAGGUUAUUACCACGCUGUUCUGACGGUAACCAAAAAAUAAGCACCGGCUAACUUCGUG